AAAAGUAAUACAAGUAGAAGCUUGUUUAGGGUAAUUUCUAAAUGGCUAACUCAAGGUCGCUUAUGGUGAUGCUACUAAUCUCCGUCCUCUUUGCUUUAUCUGUUGAGUUUCUACCAUGUUUGGAGGCUAGAAAACUGACCAUGGCGCCUUCCUUGAGAGAUUCCAGUCUGGUUCAAGGUGACCUCUCCGAGGGUCCUGCACUGCCUUCUUCUCCAGGUAAUGGUCACGGCGAAGACCACCCAGAUGAAACCCUAAUUGCCGUUCAUCUUGCCAUGACCGAUCGUAUUUUGCAGUCUGUCCCGAGUCCAGGAGCUGGCCAUUAGGCAAUCUCCACAUUGCAUGUUCCAACCUACGUGAAUACCUAGAUUUUCCAUUCAAUCUUGGAGGAGAACUAUUAAAUCAUUAUAAAUAGUUAUAAUAUAUGCAUAUCAUAUAAUCAGUAUUAUGUAUACAUACAAUAACCUUCUGUAUGGAUUUAUAACAUUGAUUCUGCUGGUUCCUUGAUUUAAGUUAUAAACAAUAUACAUGUAAUGUAUAUUUAUUUCAAACAAGAUGCAUUAAUUUGCAAUGUAAAACUCAAAUAAAGUUAUGUUCUAAGGGACUUUUGUUCAAAAAUAGAGGUUGGGUUUUGAAUAGAUAUUACGUUAUAUUAAAAAAA
rnacentral:lncRNA from 1 species